rnacentral:rRNA from 1 species
UACGGAGGAUGCAAGCGUUAUCCGGAAUCAUUGGGCGUAAAGCGUCCGCAGGUGGCAGUUCAAGUCUGCUGUCAAAGACUGGGGCUUAACCCUAGAAAGGCAGUGGAAACUGAACAGCUAGAGUGCGGUAGGGGUAGAGGGAAUUCCCGGUGUAGCGGUGAAAUGCGUAGAGAUCGGGAAGAACACCAGUGGCGAAAGCGGCUUCCUGGUCCAGCAUCGACGUUCAGGCACGAAAGCGUGGGGAGCAAACAGG